AGCCAGCCCUCCAAUUCCUGCACACACCUCGUUGACUUUGCUGUGCCUCCCAUCAAGAGAUAGUCUAUUUCCCCACCACCUAACUCUGAUCUGGACAUCUUACUUUGACCAAUGGAUGUGACAGAAAUAGUGUCACAUUAUUCUGAGGUUAAGCUAUAAGAAGCCUGUGGCUUCUACUUUGUUCCCUUGAAGUGCUGCCCUGAAACCACCAGGUAAGGAAACCAGUCUAGACUACUAGAAGAUAAGAGGCCUCUCAGAAGAGAACCAAGGCCCCCAGUCAACAGCCAGGGCCAACUGCCAGACAUUAGGGAAGGAGUCAGGGACUCCUUCCAGAGAAUGCAGCAAAAAUGAGUGAGCCCAGAUGGCCCGAACAGAAAAACCUUCCCAUCAACCCACAGAACCAUGAGAAAUAAUACGUCAUUGUUUCAAGCACUAAGUUUCGGGGUGAAUUGCUACUCAGAAAUAGAUAUGAAACAGCAACAUAACCAUUAAUUUUAUUAAAAGAAGUCAUAGGCUGACUGUGGUUGUCAAUUUAGCUUCCAAGGAUCUUGAAAAUACUGCCUCAGAAGUUUAAAUGGAAGCACUAUUGCUGUCAUGGUAUACUUCACAUUUUUGAAGAAUGACUGGUGAGAAGGGACUGUGGUGUCUGCAAUGGGUCAGGAAAUGUAUGUUUUUGUAAAUGUGCAGCUUUUCCUCAUUGUAAAAGCACAAUUUCUCUAGAGUAUCUGCAGAUGCUUCAAAAUGGACCCCCAGCUGGCUGUCAGCAAACUCUUGGAUCCUCCUUCUGGACCCCUUUUGUGUUCUGGUCCAAGAUGGAGACGUAGGAAGAUCCUCAACUCACCUCUUCCACAGAAUGCAAAAAUCUGUAUCUGUUUAUAGAGAAAUUGCUCCUAAAGAACCGAGGGCUGGCUGAAUGUCUUCUGCACAGCAAGAGAGAGAGACCACAUAGAGAACAGAAAGACAGUUGGAGAAGUGGUCAGGAAGGGAACCCCCACCCUUCACACUACCAGCUGCAAUUGGGAGGGAUGGCCCUGAGAGCUCAGGAACAGAUAUUUCUGCCCUGAGGCACAGAAAAAAAAGCUGCAACUUAAAA
rnacentral:lncRNA from 1 species